rnacentral:lncRNA from 1 species
UGCCCCUUCUCUCGAGGCGGCCAAUGUAGUCAGUCUGGGGACCCACCUCCCCCUUUCAGCUGAGCGCACACAACACAGCAUCCACGUGAGUCAGCUUCUUAAAGGCGAAGGCUUGGCCUGUCUAAUUGCGGCAGCUGCGAGACAUCGCACGUCAUUAGCGUCACCAGGUAGCGGCUGGAGCCGAGCUUCCUGAUACCUAGUGAGCCGCGGUGAUGACAAAUGAAAACAAUAAGCUGUUUCCUAGACAAACAGCUGCCUAGUUUCGCUCUGUCGCCCAGGCUGGAGUGCAGUGGCACAAUCUCGGUUCACUGCAACCUCUGCCUCCCGGGUUCAAGCAGUUCUCUUGCCUCAGCCUCCCAAGUAACUGGUACUACAGUUUGUCCUCGGCUGUUACAGAGAAUUGAUACAAAAAAUGAUCAUGUGAAGAAUUUGCAUCUUCUGCAGAACUACCGGUAUCAGUCAGCAGUAGGAGAUUGCCAGACACGGUGGCUCACGCCUAUAAUCCUAGCACUUUGGGAGGCUGAGGUGUGUGGAUCACUUGAGCCCAGGAGUUCAAGACCAGCCUGAGCAACAUGGUGAAACCCCAUCUCUGCAAAAAAUACAAAAAUUAGCCAGGCGUGGUGGUGUGUACCUGUGGUCCCAGCUGCUGGGAAGGCUGAGGUGGGAGGAACAUUUGAGCCCAGAAGUUGAGCCGUGAUCACGCCACUGCACUCCAGCCUGGAUGACACAGCAAGACCUUGUCUCAAAAAAUAAAAUAAAAUAAAUUUUAAAAAA